CCCGCCACGGCGUCGUUUCCGCGUUGCUUCCCCGGCCCAUCUCAUCUCCUCCCUCUCUUUGAUUAUUCUUGCGCUCCCUACCCGAGAGGUCAGGACUCAAGACUGAGGAGAAAGAAAAGUCCAGCCCAACUCUCUCGUCUCGACAUCUCUCUCUUCUUAACGCCCGUCCAGGUCUCGCCGCCAUUGCGUCAGGGACUCUCGGAACCCCGGUUCUUGGACAUCCUCGCAGGUCUGGUUCGUCUGCCGGGGGCUCCUCUCCUCUCGUGGUCGAUCCUGGUUGAGCGUCAUUGAGUUAAAGGGAACAUGUUUCGGAAAAAGCAAGCUUCUCAUUUCGAUUCAGAUGAUGCUGAGCAGAGACAAGCAAAGAUCAAGGAACUAAAAGCUGCACUUGGGCCUUUUUCUGCCCGUGGAAAGAAAUAUUGUGAUGAAGCAUGCUUGGUAAGAUAUCUCGAGGCCCGCAACUGGAAUGUUGACAAGUCUAGAAAAAUGCUGGAAGAAAGUAUCAAGUGGAGGGCCGCUAAGAGACCUGAGGAUAUUCGCUGGCCGGAUGUUUCCGUUGAAGCAGAAACGGGUAAAAUGUACAGGGCCACUUUCACAGAUAGAGAGGGGAGAACCGUGGUUGUAAUGAGGCCUGCAAAGCAGAAUACAUCGUCUCACGAAGGGCAGUUGCAAUAUCUUGUAUAUACCUUGGAGAAUGCAGUCCUCAGCCUGCCUGAAGGUCAUGACAAAAUGGUGUGGCUGAUAGACUUCACAGGAUGGACACUGGCCCAUGCAACCCCCUUCAAGACUGCCAGAGACUGUAUGAAUGUCCUGCAAAACCAUUACCCGGAGAGGCUUUCAAUUGCGUUUCUGUUCAAUCCGCCCAAAGUAUUUGAGGCUUCUUUUAAGGUUCUCAAAGUACUGGUUGACCCGAAAUCAGCCCAGAAGCUGAACUUCGUGUACAAGGAGAAUGAAGAGAGCAUGAAGACAAUGUACAGCCACAUUGAUCCAGAAGUCCUUCCUGUGGAGUUUGGAGGGAAGAACAAUGUCGUGUACAACCAUGAGGAUUACUCUAAGUUGAUGAUAAAGGAUGACAUCAAAAGAGCAAGCUUUUGGGCAGCAGAUGUUAGCCAUGUCGUCAACGUGGACUCGGUUCCUGAGGUUAAACCGCAGUCGUCACUAAUUGUUGCUAAAGCGAGUUGAGGAACAUCGGCAAGCCAUCUUAUCUGUUAUUGCAGAAGUUGGUUGAGGAGCUUCAGUGAGCCAUUGUGACAGUUCUUGGUACAGCUCUGAAAGAGGAAUGCAUCGAUAUAAGUUGCGGAUGUUUGGAUAAAUAAAUGUAACUGCGGAAUAUCUCGCUUGUGAUGUUACAAAAAUAGUUAUUACAACAAUUCCAUAUUCCCUUGACCAACAAUUUGACACACUAAAGAAUUCAAAGCCCUUUGGCGCAUUUCAGCGAUGCCGGCAUGGCGGCGUGUUACCAAAACGCUUCAGCUGACACUCAACCGCAACAGCGUGAUUCCACAGAUCCAGAUCCAUUCCACCGCGUCGUUUCGGUCUUGCCGGCAUUGCGUCGGUGAAUCUCGCAAUCCCGCGUUAUUGGUCAUAGUCGCAGGCCCGGUCCGUCUCCUCUCCUCUCGUGGUCGAUCCUGGUUGAGCAUCAUUGAGAGUUGAAGAAAACAUGUUUUGGAGAAAGCAGGCUUCUCAUUUUGAUUUAGAUGAUGUUGAGCAAAGACAAGCAAAGAUCAAGGAACUGAGAGCUGCACUUGGGCCUUUGUCCACCCGUGGAGAGAAAUAUUGCAGUGAAGCAUGCUUGGUAAGAUAUCUCGAGGCCCGCAACUGGAAUGUUGACAAUUCUAGAAAAAUGCUGGAAGAAAGUCUCAAGUGGAGGGCAGCCAGGAGGCCUGAGGAUAUUCGCUGGCUGGAUGUUUCUGUUGAAGCAGAAACAGGUAAAAUGUACAGGGCACCUUUUACAGACAGAGAGGGGAGAACCGUGAUUGUAAUGAGACCUGCAAAGCAGAAUACAUCAUCUCACGAAGGGCAGUUGCAGUAUCUUACAUAUACCUUGGAGAAUGCAGUCCUCAACCUGCCUCAAGGUCAAGACAAAAUGGUGUUGUUGAUAGACUUCACAGGAUGGACACUGGCCCAUAGAAGUCCCUUCAAGACUUCCAGAGAGAGUAUGACUACCGUGCAAAGCCAUUACCCGGAGAGACUUUCAGCUGCAUUUAUGUUCAAUCCGCCCAAAAUAUUUGAGGCCUCUUUUAAGGUUCUCAAAGUAUUGAUUGACCCGAAAUCAGCCCAGAAACUCAACUUUGUGUACAAGGAGAACGAGGAGAGCAUGAAGACAAUGUACAACCACAUUGAUCCAGAAGUCCUUCCUGUAGAGUUUGGAGGGAAGAACAAUGUUGUCUACAACCAUGAGGAUUACUCUAAGUUGAUGACAAAGGAUGACAUCAAAACAGCAAGCUUUUGGGGGGCAGACAGUAACCAUGCCACGAACGGGCACUCGGUUCCUGCGGUUAAAUCGCAGUCAUCACUAACUGUUGCUAAAGCAAGUUGAGAAACAUUGGCCAGCCAUCCCACCGGCUGUUGCUAAAGCAAAUUGAGAUGCAUCAGGCAGCCAUUAUGAGCUUACGAUGGCCUUCGGUACAGUUCUGAAAGAGAAAUAAAGAAAUGCAACUGCAGAAUAUCUCGCUUGUGAAUUUAUGAUGUUACAAACAACGGUUAUACUUGCUCAUCACAAAAUAAGUGAUUUCAUUACCACCCUUGGCC
rnacentral:rRNA from 1 species